rnacentral:lncRNA from 1 species
GAUGCAUCCUUGGCCGCAGAUUUCUUUCUAAGAUUGAUUCUGUAAGUUUGUUUUUCCCCGUGAUAAGUGAAUGUAAUUCAUCUGUUGUUACUUAAAUACAUUUUUAUGAUUGACUGUUCUCUACUUUGCAUUAAUCGUCCUUGGCACACCUCCAUUUAAUUAUACUUCCCAAUUUUAAUAUGCUUCACAAUUUACUACCUUGACUUAUCCUACUGCUUCAGUUAGUCAAGUUGAAUACUAGUACUCUUAGCAAUGUGACUUUUUGCAUUUUUGCUUUGCCUUUGACAGUGGUCCACUCCUGAGAUAAGUCCUCUUCAGUGAGGCUGUGUACCGCAUUAAGGUUAUUGUUGCCAUAAGAUUUUAUUGAUUUCUUCUUUUGAGAUUUUGGAUGACUGAGACUUUUAAUGAUAACUAACAUUUUGCUUUUGCACCAGUUCUGUUCAAAGGACGUAAAAGCAAUAAUUUAUUGUGAGUGCCAAGUGUUGUCACGAGUCACACUACUAUAAAAGCCUGGCAGCGCCAUUGGGUUAAACAAAGUGAGACUUAAGUCUUUAAUAGAGUAUCGCGUGCUGGUUUAAAAGUCCAUGAAAGUUUCUCGUCGCCAUUUUUGGGAAAAUAUAACCAAGUGCCGAUUGCUUAGUGAUGAUUGUUUUCUUUUUUUAUUUCCGUAUAGAGGUGUAAGCCUAGAAAGCAUAACCAGUUUACUUCAAGUUGCCAUUUCAUUUGAAAAGUUGCUUGUACUGUAUUUGUUCAAAGCUGGCAAGUUUGCAACACCUACAUAAUAUAUAUUGUAAAUAACUUUAUGAUUUUUUUUUUAUAUUAAGGAUAUUUCAGGUUCAAAGCAGUCUAUCAUUCACUUCAAGUCUGGAUGUUGAAAGCAUAAAGUAGAAGAAUCGAGAGAUUACCUUUCACGUUGGUACUCUCUGGGUUGAACUUGAAACCCAUCAAGGGUUAAAGUCGCCAUAAGAGUUUACACUGCUUGGUAAGAGGGAAGGAAAAUUAAAAAUGGCAAGAAUGGAAAGGAGAUGCCAAGGGAGGAAAACUAUAUUUUUCUUUUCGGAUUUUUGAUAGAUAUUAAUGUGAGAAUUAAAAGUGGAGCCGCAUGGGAAGGGAGGGAAUACUUUUUUUUUUUUUUUGUUUGUGUUUUUGAUCGUCUGGUUUUAUGAUCUGUGGAAUUUGUACCAUUACAAAUAAAAGUAUCUGACCGAUUGUUGAACAACAUAAAUACUUGUUGGGAGGAAGUUGUAGGAGGAUGGCAAAUAAUAAUGUUCCCUUCCAAUCGAACAGGCUGUUUAUACAUAUGUGUGCGCUUUUGCUGCCUUUUCUUUGGUCACAUUACCUCGUAAAAUAGAACUAGGAGGGGAUUAUAUUGAUGGCGAGUGCUGUCAAAUUAAGG